AGAGUUUGAUCAUGGCUCAGGAUGAACGCUGGCGGCGUGCGUAACACAUGCAAGUUGAGCGACGACGUGCUUGAAGUGGCAACAUGGAAAGUACGAGCGGAGCAGCGGACGGGUGAGUACAACAUGAGAAGCUGUCCUGUGGUGGGGGACAACGUCUAGAAAUGGACGCUAAUACCCCAUAGGCCGAAAGGUUAAAGCAGCAAUGCGCCACUGGAGGUGCUCGUGCCCUAUCAGCUAGUUGGUGAGGUAACGGCUCACCAAGGCGACGACGGGUAGCCGGCCUGAGAGGGUGUCCGGCCACACUGGGACUGAGAUACGGCCCAGACUCCUACGGGAGGCAGCAGUGGGGAAUAUUGGGCAAUGGGAGAAAUCCUGACCCAGCGACGCCGCGUGAAUGAAGAAGGCCUUCGGGUCGUAAAGUUCUUUUAUGCGGGAAGAAGGAAGUGACGGUACCGCAUGAAUAAGCCCCGGCUAACUACGUGCCAGCAGCCGCGGUAAUACGUAGGGGGCGAGCGUUGUCCGGAAUUACUGGGCGUAAAGGGCACGCAGGCGGUGCAUCAAGUCAGCUGUAAAAGGAUGCGGCUUAACCGUAUUAUGCAGUUGAGACUGAAGUACUGGAGUGCUGGAGAGGCAAGUGGAAUUCCCAGUGUAGCGGUGAAAUGCGUAGAUAUUAGGAGGAACACCAGUGGCGAAGGCGGCUUUCUGGACUGUAACUGACACUGAGGGCUCGAAAGCGUGGGGAGCGAACAGGAUUAGAUACCCUGGUAGUCCACGCCGUAAACGAUGGAUACUAGGUGUAGGAGGUAUCGACCCCUUCUGUGCCGGAGUUAACGCAAUAAGUAUCCCGCCUGGGGAGUACGGCCGCAAGGCUGAAACUCAAAGGAAUUGACGGGGGCCCGCACAAGCGGUGGAGUAUGUGGUUUAAUUCGACGCAACGCGAAGAACCUUACCAGGUCUUGACAUUGAGUGAAAGCCCAAGAGAUUGGGCCCUUCUUCGGAACACGAAAACAGGUGGUGCAUGGCUGUCGUCAGCUCGUGUCGUGAGAUGUUGGGUUAAGUCCCGCAACGAGCGCAACCCCUGUCCUGUGUUGCCAGCAUUUAAGGUGGGAACUCACAGGAGACUGCCGCGGAUAACGCGGAGGAAGGCGGGGAUGACGUCAAGUCAUCAUGCCCCUUAUGACCUGGGCUACACACGUACUACAAUGGGGCGUACAGAGGGCAGCGAAGGAGCGAUCCGGAGCGAAUCCCAGAAAACGCCUCCCAGUUCGGAUUGCAGGCUGAAACCCGCCUGCAUGAAGUCGGAAUCGCUAGUAAUCGCAGGUCAGCAUACUGCGGUGGAUACGUUCCCGGGCCUUGUACACACCGCCCGUCACACCACGGAAGUCAUUCACACCCGAAGCCGGUGGGCUAACCGCAAGGAAGUAGCCGUCUAAGGUGGGGGCGAUGACUGGGGUGAAGUCGUAACAAGGUAACCGUA
rnacentral:rRNA from 1 species